rnacentral:rRNA from 1 species
AUUGAACGCUGGCGGCAGGCCUAACACAUGCAAGUCGAACGAGUGGCGGACGGGUGAGUAAUGUCUGGGAAACUGCCUGAUGGAGGGGGAUAACUACUGGAAACGGUAGCUAAUACCGCAUACCAUCGGAUGUGCCCAGAUGGGAUUAGCUAGUAUGUGGGGUAAAGGCUCACCUAGGCGACGAUCCCUAGCUGGUCUGAGAGGAUGACCAGCCCAACUGGAGAUGAGGAAAGGUCCAGGCUCCUACGGGAGGCAUCAAUGGGGAAUAUUGCACAAUGGGCGCAAACCUGAAGCAGCCAUGCCGCGUGGGUGAAGAAGGCCUUCGGGUUGUAAAGCACUUUCAGCGAGGAGGCGUUACUCGCCGAAGAAGCACCGGCUAACUCCGUGCCAGCAGCCGCGGUAAUUC